CUGGCUCAGAUUGAACGCUGGCGGCAGGCCUAACACAUGCAAGUCGAACGGUAACAGGAAGCAGCUUGCUGCUUCGCUGACGAGUGGCGGACGGGUGAGUAAUGUCUGGGAAACUGCCCGAUGGAGGGGGAUAACUACUGGAAACGGUAGCUAAUACCGCAUAAUGUCGCAAGACCAAAGAGGGGGACCUUCGGGCCUCUUGCCAUCGGAUGUGCCCAGAUGGGAUUAGCUUGUUGGUGAGGUAACGGCUCACCAAGGCGACGAUCCCUAGCUGGUCUGAGAGGAUGACCAGCCACACUGGAACUGAGACACGGUCCAGACUCCUACGGGAGGCAGCAGUGGGGAAUAUUGCACAAUGGGCGCAAGCCUGAUGCAGCCAAUGCCGCGUGUAUGAAGAAGGCCUUCGGGUUGUAAAGUACUUUCAGCGGGGAGGAAGGGGUUAAGGUUAAUAACCUUAGCCAUUGACGUUACCCGCAGAAGAAGCACCGGCUAACUCCGUGCCAGCCGCCGC
rnacentral:rRNA from 1 species